GAUCAUGGCUCAGAGUGAACGCUGGCGGCAGGCCUAAUACAUGCAAGUCGAACGGCAGCACAGCAGAGCUUGCUCUGUGGGUGGCGAGGUGGCGGACGGGUGAGGAAUACGUGGGAAUCUGCCCAGUCGUGGGGGAUAACGUAGGGAAACUUACGCUAAUACCGCAUGCGCCCUUCGGGGGAAAGCCGGGGACCUUCGGGCCUGGCGCGAUUGGGUGAGCCCACGUCGGAUUAGCUAGUUGGCGGGGUAAAGGCCCACCAAGGCGACGAUCCGUAGCUGGUCUGAGAGGAUGAUCAGCCACACUGGAACUGAGACACGGUCCAGACUCCUACGGGAGGCAGCAGUAGGGAAUAUUGGACAAUGGGCGCAAGCCUGAUCCAGCCAUGCCGCGUGAGUGAAGAAGGCCCUCGGGUUGUAAAGCUCUUUUGUCCGGAAAGAAAAGCGCCGGGUUAAUACCCUGGUGUCCUGACGGUACCGGAAGAAUAAGCACCGGCUAACUUCGUG
rnacentral:rRNA from 1 species